UUUCGGGACCUGUGCGGCAGGAACGCCGUGAACCGGGUCAGAUGGGGAACCAAGCAGCCCUAAGCGGCGAACCUGGGCGCUGUAGGACCACCUG
rnacentral:SRP_RNA from 1 species